rnacentral:tRNA from 4 species
GGAGAGAUGGUAGAGUGGUCGAUUACAACGGUCUUGAAAACCGUCGUACCGAGAGGUACCGGGGGUUCGAAUCCCUCUCUCUCCGCCA